AACGAACGCUGGCGGCAUGCCUAAUACAUGCAAGUCGAACGAUCACUUCGGUGGUAGUGGCGCACGGGUGCGUAACGCGUGGGAAUCUGCCCUUGGGUUCGGAAUAACGUCGGGAAACUGACGCUAAUACCGGAUGAUGACGUAAGUCCAAAGAUUUAUCGCCCAGGGAUGAGCCCGCGUAGGAUUAGCUAGUUGGUGGGGUAAAGGCCUACCAAGGCGACGAUCCUUAGCUGGUCUGAGAGGAUGAUCAGCCACACUGGGACUGAGACACGGCCCAGACUCCUACGGGAGGCAGCAGUAGGGAAUAUUGGACAGUGGGGGCAACCCUGAUCCAGCAGAGCCGCGUGAGUGAUGAAGGCCUUAGGGUUGUAAAGCUCUUUUACCCGGGAUGAUAAUGACAGUACCGGGAGAAUAAGCCCCGGCUAACUACGUGCCAGCCGCCGCGGUAA
rnacentral:rRNA from 1 species